rnacentral:rRNA from 1 species
CCUACGGGGGGCUGCAGUCGAGAAUCUUCCGCAAUGGGCGCAAGCCUGACGGAGCAAUGCCGCGUGAAGGAUGAAGGUCUUUGGAUUGUAAACUUCUGUCACCGGGGACGAAUUAUGACGGUACCCGGGGAGGAAGCCACGGCUAACUACGUGCCAGCAGCCGAGGUAAUACGUAGGUGGCGAGCGUUGUUCGGAAUUAUUGGGCGUAAAGGGUUCGUAGGAUGUUUUUUAAGAUUGGUGUGAAAUCCCAGGGCUCAACCCUGGAACUGCAUUGAUGACUGAGAGACUAGAGUAUCGUAGAGGAAAGCGGAAUUCCCAGUGUAGCGGUGAAAUGCGUAGAUAUUGGGAGGAACACCGGUGGCGAAGGCGGCUUUCCGGACUAGUACUGACGCUGAGGCGCGAAAGCUAGGGGAGCGAACGGGAUUAGAUACCCGAGUAGUC